CCAGGAAGUAAGGCACAGUUCUCCUAAAUAGUUCCCCCAACUUACCUCCCGUUUUGCUGCUUUGUAGGGGCUCUGACUCAGAAGCAGGACCUGGGGCUCCCCUCUCAGGGACCCCGCUUUGCCCUUCCUCAGCAAUCCUUUUUUUCUUCCCUCUCCUUUCAGUCCAAGCAUCUUGGUGAUUGUGAUUGGCCAUGGCUUCAUAGUGCAUUCUCAUGUCAUGAGGAGCUGUGUUAGAUCAGCUCCAGGUGGGCUGACCCAUUCCACCUGCAACUCAGAGCCUGCAACAGCUGGCUGGCCUUUAAUUUCCUGAAUUGGAAACAACCCUCGCUCAAGGAAUUCGGCCAUUAUGAAUCUCGUGCUGUUGCCCAGGCUGGAGUACAAUGGUGUGAUCUCAGCUCACUGCAACCUCUGCCUCCGGAGUUCUCCUGCCUCAGACUCCCUAGUAGCUGGGACUGCAGGCACCCGCCACCAUGCCCAGGUAAUUUUUGUGUUUUUAGUAGAGAUGGAGUUUCAGCAUGUUGGCCAGACUGGUCUCGAACUCCUGACCUCAGGUGAUCCGCCCACCUUGGCCUCCCAAAGUGCUGGGUUAUAGGAGUGAGCCACUGCACCCAGUCCCCCAUGAUUUCUAUAUUACCAAAUGCAUUUUUCUUCAUGUUUGUUGUCAGUGCAGUGAGAUAAACCCAGAGGUUGAUGAAGGAUGUUUCUAUCUAUCGUUCGUCAAUCAAUCAAUCUUUAAUGAAAGGUGUUAGACAAUAUUUUUUGGUAAAAACAAACGUGGUGUGAGUUGAUGUUCUUUCUCUGAAUGGCUUUUGCUUCAUUUUACUUUAUUGGAGAGUCUGAGUUUAUCCCUAUGGCUUCGAACAUCCUAGUCACUAAAUAAAUAUAUUUUUUAACACUUUUGUUAAAAUUGAAACAACUUAACACUCAUUCUUAGAAAAAAUAUUCCAAUGACAAAUUUAGGAAACUUAUAUAUCAAGCUGAUAUUGUUAUUGGCAAGUGUGGGGCUAUUGGUGGAUGCUACUUGUAUUUUAGUUCUGUUGCUUUUGCUUUUUUUUAAUGACACAAAAUAUAUUUAAUACGUUAAAUGAGAGACUAGGAAAUAUAUUUAAAGAUCUUUCAGGCUGACAUAAUGACCGCAAAUAAGUAAGACAAAAAAGCUUUGGUAAAAUAAGUAGAAUUAAAAAAAUGCAGUUCUGUGAAUUAACACAAGAAAACAUCAGAUGAAGAAUAAAGUUUCUCUGCCAAAGUUCCAGCUCAACAGUGCUGUGAAUGUGAUGUGGCUGCUGCUGUUAGACAAUAUUAAAAAAUUUACAAAGCCCAGAGGUCGUCUUCCCCCAGCUCUUGGCCCUUCUGUUUAGUUUUGCAUGUCAUAUUCUAGAGAGAAUAUUUAAUAGCAAAUAUGUUAACUACAUCCGAAACACCUGGCCCAUAUAAUGAAGAGUAUGGAAACAAUGCCAAAUGAGGCAUGGCUAAAGAAAUUAGGAUUUUUGUCUAGAAAAGAGGAGACACAAUGGCCAUUUGAAAAUAGCUCUAAAGGGCUAAACCAGAAUCAAAGAGCUGGAAGUUACACAGGGAGACAGAUUUGGAAACGAAGACAUUUCUAACAUUACACCUGUUCUUAAAUGAAAUGGACUGCCUUACAAAGUCAUGAUCUUUCCAAGCUCCAGGGACCUUCAGCCACAGACUGAAGACCUAGAAUAAUCUUUCAGGGACAAUUUCUGUUCUGGGUGGGAGGUUGGAAUAAAAGUCACCACCCAACUCUUUAACAUUCUGGGAAUUUUAUGUUGCUAUGAUUGUAAUAGAAAUCACAAAGCAAUGAUAUUGAAUCUUCAUAGAAAAUUUGGAUGUGGAACAGCCAGUGGGGCAAGCAAAGUUACCUCAUCUUGAAUCGGUGUAACAAAGCCCUCAUUUGCAUAAAACCCAUCAUGGAGAUUUAAAAGUCUAGUGUCUUGGUCUUAGUCAAACUAAUAAAAAAUCACAUGAAGCAAUUUAUUUAAAAUUAAUAAAGAUCAUACGAAGCAAUUUAUUUACAGACACCUGCAAGCUAAAAGCAGAGUGUGUCUAAAGAUGAAAGUGUUAGAAUUAAUUAACAAAAGUUGUGAUAGUUAUGGAAAAGCUCUUUCCACAGGUCAGUAAAUUCUGGGCAUUAAUCAUUUCAGUUAUGAAUUGCACAAGUAGAGGGUUUUCAAGGAUGAGAGAGGAUGCUUGGAAAUGUGAUUACAUUUCUCAAAAUAUAUGUUAAUUUUUUAAUAAAAUUCUUUGCAGAGGAUCACCUCACCACCUUAUUGUUAUAAAAAUUUUAGAAUGGCUCUUGCUUAGAAUUACAUAUCAUAUGUACUUUCUGCACAUAUAAAGUUGGUUUUUGGCCAGGCGUGGUGGCUCAUGCCUGUAAUGUCGGCACUUUGGGAGGCUGAGGCAGGAGGAUCACUUCAGGCCAGGAGUUGGAGACCAGCCUGGGCAACAUAUUGAGACCCUGUCUCUAUUUUUAUUUUUAAAAAAUUGGUUUUCAAUGAAAUAGUUUCCUCCAGUUGCUACUACUGUGAGAUUAUGAAGCUCAUUUCAAGAUGCUCCUGUCCUGCUUAGAAAGCUGGUCUUCCCCUGGUUUUGCCCUUAACUUGAAAUCCAGCUUCAGUUUUAGUGGCCAAAGGGCCAUGUGGUAGCCUGCUUUAUAUCUGAACUCAGACCAAUGGGUAUCUUUUUUAGUUCUUCUGGUCUCCAAUGUCAACAGGUUUCUCCUGUCUACAUAGAUAGAAAACUGUUCUGGAAAUUUUGAAGCCUCCCUGUUUAGGCGAGGGAGAAGCAGUUUUGGAAAAAUGAAAAAAAAAAAGUACUUUUGGGGGGUACCUCUCACAGAAAUAGGCCACUUGGUGAGUCUAGGAUAUGAAACUACAGAACUUCACUUAUUUUGGUAGAGUAGAAUUCUAGCUCAUGGAAUUAGGAGAUGGAGCUUUAACUUGUAAUUUUUCCACUUUAUUUAAAGGGAGAGGCCUUUAAAUAAAUGACCUCUCCCAGCUUUAUUUUCUUCAUCUAUAAAAUGGGAACAGUAAUACCUACAUCAGAGAGUUUGUGGAUUAAGUGAAAUAAAAUGUAAACAUAGAUACAAAGUGUUUAUAUACAUAACACGUGCUUAUGAAAUAUAAAUUCCUUUUGCCCUCCUGUUUUUUCUCCUUUGGAUUGCUCAAAAAGUUAUUCUGCUCGACAUCACUUAUUAUAGAAACAUCUACAUAGGUUAAUUAUAGACAUUAAUUUAUUGUAAUGCUUUUACAUCACAGGUGGAACCACAUAGAGCUACACUUUCUCUAAUUUUUUUUUUUCUUUUUGAGACCAGGUCUCACUCUGUCACCCAGGCUGGAGUGCAGUGGUGCCAUCACAGCUCAUAGCAGCCUCAACCUCCUGGGCUCAAGCGAUUCUCCUGCCUUAGCCUCCUGAGUAGCUGGGACUACAGGCACAUGCCACCAGUACCAGCUAAUUUUUGUAUUUUUUUGUAGAGAUAGGAUCCUACUAUGUUGCUCAGGCUGGUCUCAAACUCCUGGGCUCAAGUGAUCCUCCCGCCUCAGCCUCCCAAAGUGCUGAGAUUACAGGUGUGAGCCACUCCCGUAAUCCCAGCAAAACCCCAUCUCUACAAAAAAUACAAAAAUUAGCUGGGCAUGGUGGAGCACACCUGUAGUCCCAGCUACUCAGGGGGCUGAGGUGGGAGGAUCGCUUGAGCUCAGGAGGUCUAGGCAGCAGUGAGCUGUGAUUGCACCACUGCACUCCAGCCUGGGUGACUGAGGCAUGCAAUGCACAUCCUAUCGCAAUUUUGUUAUAAGCUCGCAUGUGCUUAUAACAAAGCACAUGUUAUAAGCUUCAUGUUCCUUGUGGUUCUGUCAGCAAAAUAACUUCAUCAUGCCCCCUCUCUGGAAGUCCAAGCUUUGUACACAGGAUACCUCUGGGCUUGUCCCUUACCUGCUAUUUAAGUGCUAACUUUUAAAAAAGUGGUUGAACUAUUAACAUUUGCUUCUUUCCUGCAUUAUCAUUUCAUAUUGACAUUGAUAUUACAAAUGAGUACUUUGUUUUCAGAAGGGCUUGAUCAAUAUUUUCUGUUACCCAAGUGUCAUAUCUCAGCCACUGAAAAGUUUUUAAAGUGGUUUAUUACUUGUAGUAUUUUGUUCCUUGAGGAGGUUGUGUGGAUAAUAUUACUUGAGCUUCAUUUUGGGUGAUUUAUAUUCACCAGUUUGUCUCCUCCUGGGUGAACACUGUCUAAUUCCACGAAGUCGUCAAGCCAGUUUAGGCCACUUUCCUUAGAGCUUCAAAUACUUUAGCCGUUUACUCUGAGCUGCCUGCUGUGAACCUUGUUUCUUGUUUGUCAUCUCUGUGAGGAUGGAUGCCACGUCGACCAUUCUCAUCAUUCUUGUGUAUACUUCCCUGAGGUGAGAAAGAAAAAACAACCCUGUGAAUCUCUGGAUUAAAAGUCAACGGGUGAAAACCCAUGUGCGAGGCUGGGUGCGGUGGCUCACGCCUGUAAUCCCAGCACUUUGGGAGGCCGAGGUGGGCGGAUCCCAAGGUCAGGAGUUCGAGACCAGCCUGGCCAACAUGGUGAAACCCCGUCUCUACUAAAAAUACAAAAAUUAGCUGGGCUUGGUGGCGCGUGCCUGUAAUCCCAGCUACUCAGGAGGCUGAGGCAGGAGAAUCGCUUGAACCUGGGAGGUGGAGGCGAGAUCGCGCCGCUGCACUCCAGCCUGGGCGACAAGCGAGAGACUCUGUCUCAAAAAAAACAAACAAACAAAAAAGAAAGCCCAUGUGCAUGUGGGCAUGAGCUCUCCCUUCUUACAGUAAAUCCACUCUUAGAAAAAAGAAAUGUGUUCCUCUCAUUCAAAAGUUGAGGCUGAAUGCAGUCGUUCAUGCCUAUAACCCCAGCCCUUUGGAAGGCCGAGGUGGGAGGAUUGCUUGAGCCCAGGAGUUUGAGACCAGCCUGGGCAACAUAGUGAAACUCCAUCUCUACAAAAAAUAAACAAAAUUAGCUGGGCAUGGUUGCCUGCAGCUACUCAGGAGGCUGAGGUGGGAGGAUUGCUUGAGCCCAGGAAGUUGAGGCUGCAGGUGAAUCGAGAUGGCACCACUACACUCCAGCCUGGGCAACAGAGCGAGACCCUGUAACAAAACAAAGCAAAAAAAUUGCCUGGAGAGCUGAACUUUAGGGUCUCACAAUAAACAUAUUCCUAUUGUAGAGUUUUAAAAUAAUUUUAAGCUCCCCUCCCUUAAAGGCAUAAGUAGUGCAAGCUGACUCCGAGCACAUCCAGGAAUGCGCUUACUGAUGAGAUAUCGAGGCAAGCUAAAUCAGCAGUUCCUGAGGACGCGCUUGGGGGAUGGCACCCAAAGCCCCUGCAUUAUCUCUUUGUGAUAGUUUGAGCCCCUGCACCUGGAACUGUUUACUUUUCUGUAACUGUUUCUGUAACCAAUUAAUCUUUCUUAAUUGGUUUGCCUGUUCUGCUUCUGUAAAAAUUGCUUCAGCUAAACUCCCUCUCCCCUAUUUAGACCACGAUAUAAAAAGAAAUCUAGCCCCUUCUUCGGGGCCGAGAGAAUUUUGAGCUCUAGCCGUCUUGUUCGCCGGCAAUAAAAGGAC
rnacentral:lncRNA from 10 species